UACGUAGGGUGCAAGCGUUAAUCGGAACUACUGGGCGUAAAGCGUGCGCAGGCGGUUCUAUAAGACAGAUGUGAAAUCCCCGGGCUCAACCUGGGAACUGCAUUUGUGACUGUAGAGCUGGAGUGCGGCAGAGGGGGAUGGAAUUCCGCGUGUAGCAGUGAAAUGCGUAGAUAUGCGGAGGAACACCGAUGGCGAAGGCAAUCCCCUGGGCCUGCACUGACGCUCAUGCACGAAAGCGUGGGGAGCAAACAGG
rnacentral:rRNA from 1 species